CUUCCCCAGUCUUGGGGUGCGCACCUCAGGCAACGACCCAUCCCUCACUCCCCUGUGCUGGGACUGCAUGGGAAGCUGGACUACACUCCUCAGCCUCCCUUGAAGUUGCAGUGAACUUAUGAUGGUUUGUUCUAACCACCGUAAUAUCAACUGACGUUUAUCUACAAGGAUUUUUAUCAGGGUUGUUUGAAACCAGGGGUCAGCAAAAUUGUUUCGUGACCAGUCAAGUAUUGCCGUGACCCUCAGGUUGAAGGUCACAUAACCUGAGCAUGCCCAGAUGAACCAAGUGUGCAGCCAGAGGGGGAACCUAAGGGCUUGGACUGACGAUCGGGGGACUGAAUUAAGAAGUGGACAUGGCAGGACCCAGGAUCCAAUCAGGUCAAUCCCUAGCAUCAUCUCAUGGAAGGAUCCAAUCAGAUCAUGCCUCCCAGCAUCACUUCAUUGCAAGAUCCAAUCAGAUCAUGCCUCAUUACUUCAUGCCUAUAAAACCUGACCCAGCCCUCUGUUUAGGAGGCACUGUUUUAGGAAUUAUCCCCUGUGGUCCCCUUACUUGCUGCAAGUAAUAAAAUCCCCUUGUUAAGUC
rnacentral:lncRNA from 1 species